rnacentral:lncRNA from 1 species
UGUUUUUCUAAAUUUUGUAUAUUGUUAUCAAGAAAUGAGAAGAUUGAUAGUGUUAUUAGUGUUCUUUUUUGCUAAAUUUUGUAUAUUGUUAUCAAGAAAUGAGAAGAUUGAUAGUGUAUUUAGUGUUCUUGUUUUGCUAAAUUUUGUAUAUUGUUAUCAAGAAAUGAGAAGAUUGAUAGUGUUAUUAGUGUUCUUGUUUUGCUAAAUUUUGUAUAUUGUUAUCAAGAAAUGAGAAGAUUGAUAGUGUUAUUAGUGUUCUUGUUUUGCUAAAUUUUAUAUUGAUACAAGAAAUGAGAAGAUUGAUAGUGUUAUUAGUGUUCUUGUUGCUAAAUUUUGUAUAUUGUUCAAGAAAUGAGAAGAUUGAUAGUGUUAUUAGUGUUUUGUUUUGCUAAAUUUUGUAUAUGUUAUCAAGAAAUGAGAUAUGAGUGUAUUAGUGUUCUUGUUUUGCUAAAUUUGUAUAUUGUUAUCAGAAAAUGAGAAGUUGAUAGUGUUAUUAGUGUUCUGUUUUGCUUAUUUUGUAUAUUGUUAUCAAGAAAUGAGAAGAUUGAUAGUGUUUAUUAGUGUUUCUUGUUAUCAAGAAACGUUUGACCGCUGACCCUUUAGCAAAAUCUCUCAAAAAUGAAAGGCAUUGCCAUGGGGAAUUCUCCAUGGCUUCUAUUCAGUAAAAUAAGGAUAUGGAAGAUUGUUAUUAGUGUUCUUGUUUUGCAAAAUUUUGUAUAUUGUUAUCAAGAAAUGAGAAGAUUGAUAGUGUUAUUAGUGUUCUUGUUUUGCUAAAUUUUGUAUAUUGUUAUCAAGAAAUGAGAAGAUUGAGAGUGGUAUUAGUGUUCUUGUUUUGCUAAAUUUUGUAUAUUGUUAUCAAGAAAUUAGAAGUUUGAUAGUGUUAUUAGUGUUCUUGUUUUGCUAAAUUUUGUAUAAUUUUAUCAAGAAAUGAGAAGAUUGAUAGUGUUAUUAGUGUUCUUGUUUUGCUAAAUUCUAUAUAUUGUUAUCAAGAAAUGAGAAGAUUGAUAGGGUUAUUAGUAUUCAUGUUUUGCUAAAUAUUGUAUAUUGUUAUCAAGAAAUGAGUAGAUUGAUAGUGUUAUUAGUGUUCUUGUUUUGCUAAAUUUUGUAUAUUGUUAUCAAGAAAUUAGAAGAUUGAUAGUGUUAUUAGUGUUCUUGUUUUGCUAAAUUUUGUAUAUUGUUAUCAAGAAAUGUGAGAAGAUUGAUAGUGUUAUUAGUGUUUCUUGUUUUUGCUAAAUUUUGUAUAUUUUAUCAAGAAAUGAGAAGAUUGAUAGUGUUAUUAGUGUUCUUGUUUUGCUAAAUUUGUAUAUUGUUUCAAGAAAUGAGAAGAUUGAUAGUGUUUAUUAGUGUUCUGUUUGCUAAAUUUUGUAUAUGUUAUCAAGAAAUGAGAAGAUUGAUAGUGUUAUUAGUGUUCUUGUUUUGCUAAAUUUUGUAUAUUGUUAUCAAGAAUGAGAAGAUGUGUGUGUUUUAUUAGUUCUUGUUUUGCUAAUUUUGUAUUGUUCAAGAAAUGGAGAAGAUGAUAGGUGUUUAUUGUGCUUCUUUUGCUAAAUUGUAUAUUGUUUCAAAAAAUGAGAAGAUGAUAGUGUUUUAUGUGUUCUUUUUUUGCUAAAUUUUGUAUAUUGUUAUCAAGAAAUGAGAAGAUUGAUAGUGUAUUAGUGUUCUUGUUUUGCUAAAUUUGUAUAUUGUUAUCAAGAAAUGGAGAAGAUUGAUAGUGUUAUUGUAGUGUUCUUGUUUUGCUAAAUUUUGUAUAUUGUUAUAAGAAAUGAGAGAGUUGAUAGUGUUAUUAGUGUUCUUUGGUUUGCUAAAUUUUGUAUAUUUGUUAUCAAGAAAUGAGAAGUAUGAGAUAGUGUUAGUUAGUGUUCUUGUUUUGCUGAAUUUUUGUAUAUUGUUAUCAAGAAAUGAGAAGAUUGAUAGUGUUAUUAGUGGUUUUCGUUUUGCUAAAUUUUGUAUAUUGUUUCAAGAAUGAGAAGAUUGAUAUGUUAUUAGUGUUCUUGUUUGCUAAAUUUGUAUAUUGUUAUCAAGAAUGAGAAGAUUGAAUAGUGUUAUUAGUGUUCUUGUUUUGCUAAAUUUUGUAUAUUGUUUAUCAAGAAAUGAGAAGUGAUAGUGUUUAUUAGUGUUCUUGUUUUGCUAAAUUUUGUAUAUUUUAUCAAGAAUGAGAAGAUUGAUAGUGUUAUUAGUGUUCUUGUUUUGCUAAAUUUUGUAUAUUGUUAUCAAGAAUAGAAGAUUGAUAGUGUUAUUAGUGUUCUUGUUUUGCUAAAUUUUGUAUAUUGUGUCAAAGAAAUGAGAAGAUUGAUAGUGUUAUUAGUGUUCUUUGUUUGCUAAAAUUUGUAUAUUGUUAUCAAGAAAUGAGAAGAUUGAUAGUGUUAUUAGUGUUCUUGUUUUGCUAAAUUUGUAUAUUGUUUAUCAAGAAAUGAGAAGAUUGAUAGUGUUAUUAGUGUUCUUGUUUUGCUAAAUUUUGUAUAUUGUUAUCUAAGAAAUGAAGAAGAUUGAUAGUGUUAUUAGUGUUCUUGUUUUGCUAAAUUUUGUAUAUUGUUAUCAAGAAUAAUGAAGUACGAUAGUGUUAUUAGUGUUCUUGUUUUGCUAAAUUUUGUAUUAUUGUUAUCAAGAAAUGAGAGAUUGAUAGCUGUAUUAGUGUUCUUGUUUUGCUAAAUUUUGUAUAUUGUUAUCAAGAAAUGAGAAGAUUGAUAGUGUUAUUAGUGUUCUUGUUUUUUUGCUAAAUUCUAUAUAUUGUUAUCAAGAAAUGAGAAGAUUGAUAGGGUUAUUAGUAUUCAUGUUUUGCUAAAUUUUGUAUAUUGUUAUCAAGAAAUGAGAAGAUUGAUAGGGUUAUUAUUGUUCUCGUUUUGCUAAAUUUUGUAUAUUCUUAUCAAGAAAUAAGAAGAUUGAUAGUGUUGUUAGUGUUCUUGUUUUGCUAAAUUUUGUAUAUUGUUAUCAAGAAAUGAGAAGCUUGAUAGUGUUAUUAGUCGUCUUGUUUUUCUAAAUUUUGUAUAUUAUUAUCAAGAAAUGAGAAGGUUGAUAGUGUUAUUAGUGUUCUUGUUUUGCUAAAUAUUGUAUAUUGUUAUCAAGAAAUGAGAAGAUUGAUAGUCUUAUUAGUGUUCUUGUUUUGCUAAAUUAUGUAUACUGUUAUCAAGAAAUGAGAAGAUUGAUAUUGUUAUUAGUGUUCUUGUUUUGCUAAAUUUUGUAUAUUGUUAUCAAGAAAUGAGAAGAUUGAUAGUGUUAUUAGUGUUCUUGUUUUGCUAAAUUUUGUAUAUUGUUAUCAAGAAAUGAGAAGAUUGAUAGUGUUAUUUGUGUUCUUGUUUUGCUAAAUUUUGUAUAUUGUUAUCAAGAAAUGAGAAGAUUAAUAGUGUUAUUAGUGUUCUUGUUUUGCUAAAUUUUAUAUAUUGUUAUCAAGAAAUAGGAAGGUUGAUAGUGUUAAUAGUUUUCUUGUUUUGCUUAAUUUUGUAUAUUGUUGUCAAGAAAUGAGAAGAUGAUAGUGUUAUUAGUGUUCUUGUUAUCAAGAAACGUUUGAAGCUGACCCUUUAGCAAAAUCUCUCAAAAAUGAAAGGCAUUGCCAUGGGGAAUUCUCGAUGGCUUCUAUUCAGUCAAAUAAGGAUAUGGAAGAUCACAACCAAGUCGAUGUAAGUCAUGACGUGAGUUAUUUCUUUGCUUCUUUUUUCUUAGCAUACUACUCUGUAUAUUAUUAUCAAGAAAUGAGAAGAUUGAUAGUGUUAUUAGUGUUCUUGUUUUGCUAAAUUUUGUAUAUUGUUAUCAAGAAAUGAGAAGAUUGAUAUUGUUAUUAGUGUUCUUGUUUUGCUAUAUUUUGUAUAUUGUUAUAAAGAAAUGAGAAGAUUGAUAGUGUUAUUAGUGUUCUUGUUUUGCUAAAUUUUGUAUAUUGUUAUCAAGAAAUGAGAAGAUUGGUAGUGUUAUUAGUGUUCUUGUUUUGCUAAAUUNNNNNNNNNNNNNNNNNNNUGCAAGAGGAAAUUUCUUUCUCUUGAAAAAUGCAAGGCUUGCCAUGUACUGUGCGAAUCCCAUAGAGCUUCCUCCUAGUUUUCAGUCCAGAAACUCUUAAGUUGGGAUAUGGAAGAUCACAACCAAGUCGAUGUAACUCAUACGCACUGUCGUUGAUUAUGAUGGAUUCAAAGGCCACACCACUGCUUUCUAAUCCGUACGUCAACAUCUUUGAGGACGUCUAUUACGUGAGUUAUUCUUUGCUUCCCCUUUUUCUUAGCAUACUUAUCUAUAUAUUUUUUAUCAAAGGAUAAUAGUAAGAUUGAUAGUGUUAUAGUGUCGAUUGUUUUGCCUAAUUGUUGCGUAUAUGUAUCCAUACUCCAAAGAGAAGAUUGUAAUAUUAGUUAGUGUUCGUGUCUUUUGCUAAAAUUUUAUUUAUCAAGAAACGAGAGAGGAUUGAUAGUGCUGAUUUUAGUAGUUUCUUGUUUACGUAAAAUUGUAGACUUAUUUCAAGAAAUGAGAAAGAUUGAUAAAUGUUAUUAGUUUUGCUUGUUUUGCUUAAAUUUGCUGAUGUUAUCAAGAAAUAUAGAUGAUAGUGUUAUUAGUGUGCUUGUUUUUCUAAAUUUGUAUAUUUAUUCAAGAAAUGAGAAGGUUGAUAAGUAUUUAAGUUUCUUGUGUUGCUAAAUUUUUAUAUUGUUUUUAGCAAAGGAAAUUGAGAAGGUUGAUAGUGUUAUUAGUAUUCUUGUUUUGCUACAAUUUUGUUAUUGUUACUCAAGAAAUGAGAAGAUGAUAGUGUUAUUUAGUGAUUCUUGGGGUUUACAAAGGAAACGUUGACGUCUGACCUAUGCUCUCAUUAAAAUUCUCUGGGAAAAAUGAACAGCAUUGCCUAGAGAAGUUUCCAUGCUGCUCUUCAGUCAAAUAAGGGAUAUGGAAGAUUCACAACCAAGCGAGUAUAGCCAUGAGCGCUACUAAUUUCGUUGGAAAUUAUGAUGGCUUCAGAACGCCACACGCUGUCUUCCUUUUUAUCCGUGACGCACAUCUUUAGGACCUUCUAUUCGGGGAGUUAGUGUCUUUGCUUUCUUUUUUCUUAGGCUAUACUUUAUCUGUAGGUAUUGUUCAUUCCAAUAUUAAGCUAGAUUUUGAGAUAGUGUGGUUUAGUGUUCUUGUUUUGCUAAAUUAUAUAUUGUUAUCAAGUAAAUGAGAGAGUGGAUAAGUGUUAUUGGUGGUUUCUUGUUUUGCUAAAUGUGUGGUAUAUUGUAUCAAGAAAUGUAGAAGAUUUGAAGUGUUAUUUGUGUUCUUGUUGUGACUAAAUCUACUAAACAAUUUGUCUUAUUGUUAUCAAGAAGAUGAGAAGAUUGAUAGUGUUAUUAAUGUUGUGAGUUGCUAAAUUUGGCUUUUGUUACUCAAGAAAUCGAGAAAGAUUGAUAGUCGUUAUUAGUGUUCUUGUUGCUAAAUUUUGUAUAUUUUACCCAAAGAAAUGAUGAAGAUUGAUAGUUGUUAUUAGUGGUUCUUGUUUUGCUAAAUUGGUAUAUUGUUAUCAGAAAUCGAAGAAGGAUUUAUAGUGUUAUUAGUGUUCUUGUUUUGCGUUAAAUUGUAUAUUAUUAUCAAGAAAUGAGAAGGUUGAUAGUCGGGUAGUUAGUGUCUCUCUCGUUUUGCUAAAUUUUGUUAUGUUAUCAAGGAAAUGAGAAGAUUGAUAGUGUUAUUAGUGUUCUUUUAUUAUUUCAAGAAACGUUUCGAAGCUGACCCUUGAUAGCGAAAUCUCUCAAAAGAAAGCAUGCACAUAAAGGACGAAAUUCUCCAAUUGGCUUUGCUAGUCAUCAAAAAGGAAUGGAAGACACAACCAAAGUGGCUAUGUAAGUCAUGACGCACUGUUCGUUUGAAUUUAGUGUAUGGCUUCACAAGGCCACACCCCGAACGCUUCCUGAUAUUGCGGUACGGCCACAUCUUUAGGACUCUAUUACGUCGAGUUAUUUCUUUGCUUCUUUGGUUUCUUAGCAGACUAACUACUGAUCUAUUGUUAUCAAGAAAUGAGAAAAAGAUAUGAUAGUGUUAGUAGUGUCAAUGUGUUUCGCUAAAUUUUGUAUAUUGUUAUCAGAAAUGAGAAGGAGUUUCUAGUGUUCAUCUAAGCUGUUCUUGUUUUUUCUGUAAUUAGUUAUAUUGUGUAUCAAGAAAUGAGACGAUUGAUUAGUUGAUUACCGUGUUCUUAUUAUUGCCUAAAUUUUGUAUAUUGUUUCAAGAACAUAGAAGAUUGAUAAUUUAUAGUGUUUUCUCUGUUUGCUAAUUUGUAUACGUAUAUUCAAUGAAUAGGAAGGAUUGAUAGUGUUAUUAGUGUUCUUGUUUGCUAAACUUUCGUGUAUAUUGUAUAUCCAAGCAAAUGAGAAUGAUUAUAGUUGUUAUUAGUGUUCUUGUUUUGCGCUAAAUUUGUAUAUGUUAUCAAGAAAUGAGAAGAUUGAUAUGUGUUAUUAUGUUGUUCUUGUUUUGCUAAAUUACUGUAUAUUGUAUCAAAAAAUGAGAAGAUUUGAUAGCUAGUUAUUGUGUUCUUUCUCGUGUUUUGCUAAAUUUGUAUAUAUGUUAUCAAGAAAUAGGAAGUUGAUAGUGUUAUUAGCUGUUCUUGGUUUUUAUAAAUUAUUGUAUAUUUAUGUAAGAAAUGAGAAGAUUGAUAUGUUAUUAGUGUUCUUGUCUUUUUUGCUAAAUUUGAUAUUGUAUCAAGAAAUGGAGAACUGAUUGAUAGUGUUUAGUGUUUAGUCAUUGUUUUGCUAAUAUGUAUACUUUGUAUCAAGAAAUGAGAGAUUGAUAGUUGAUAGGUGUUCUUGUUUUAGCUAAUAUUGUAUAUUGUUAUCAAGAAAUGAGAAGCAUUGAUAGUGUUAUUAGUGUUCUUGCUUUUGCCUAAAUUGUAUAUUGUUAUCAAGAAAUGAGAAGAUGGAUGAUAGUGUUAUUAGUGUUCUAUUUUUUGCUAAAUUUUCGCUAUAUUGAUUAUCAAGAAAUGAGAAGAUUGAUAGUGAUUUAGUGUUCUUCUUUUGCUAAAUUUUGUUAUAUUGUUUAUUAUCAAAAAGUGAGAAGAGUGAUAGAUUAGUUGUCGUUCUUGUUUUGCUUAAUUGGUAUAUUGUUAUCAAGAAAUAGAGAAGAUUGAUUAGUGUUAUUAGUGGUUUCUUGUUUUGCUAAAUUUGUAUAUUGUGUAUCAAGAAAUUGAGAGAUUGAUAGUGUAUUAGUGUUCUGUUUUGCUAAAUUUGCGUAUAUUGUUAGCAAGAAGUGAGCAAGGAUUUACUAGUGUUAUUAGGUUUCUUGUUAUUGCUAAAUUUUUGUAUAAUUAUUAAUCAAGAGAAUCGAGAAGGUUGAUAGUGGAUUAGUGCUUUCUUUUUUGCCUUAAAUUUUGUAUAUGCUUAUCUUAAUGAGAAUGAGAAGAUUGAGUGUGAUAAGUGAUUUCUAUGUUUUGCUAAUAUUUCCGUAAUAUUUUUAUCAAGAAAUGUAGAAGAUUUGAUAGUUGUAUAGAUGCCUUCUGUGUGUGCUCUAAAUUUGUAUAUUGUUACAAGAGAGAGAACAAGAUUGAUAGUGUUAUGGUGGGGUAGUGUUCUUGUUUGCUAUAAUUUGGCUAUAUUGUUAUCAAGAAAUAGAAAUUUAGAGGUAUUAGUGUUCUCGUUUUUGCAAAUUUUGUAUAUUAUUAUCAGAAUGAGAAGGUUGAUAGUGUUAUUAGUGUUCGUGUUUUGCUAAAUUUUGUUAUUGUUAUCAAGAAAUGAGAGAAUUGAUAGUGUUAUUAGUGUGCUAUAUCAAGAAACGUUUGACGACUGACCCUUUAGCAAAAAUCUGCUCAAAAAGUUGAAAGGCCCAUUGAUAGGGAAUUCUCCAGUGGCAUUCUAUCACCCCAAAUCAAGGAUAUGAAGCAUCAAAGCAGAACCAAGUCUUAUGUAAGCUAUGACGCACUGUUCGUUUGAAAUUUAUUGAUGGUCUUCAAAGGCCACACAGACUGCUUCCUAUAUUCGUAGCACAUCUUUAGGACACCUCCUAUACGUGGAGUUAUUUUCUUUGUUCUUUUUUCUCCUUUAGCAUACUAAUAUGUAACGGUUAGCAAAGAAUAGAGAAAGAAUUGAUAGUGUUAUUAGUGUUCUUUCUGCCCUAAUUGUAAUGUGUUAGUCAGAAAUGAGAAGAUUGUAGUGUUAUAGUUGUUCUCUCUUGCUAAAUUGGUAUAUUUUAUCAGAAAUGAGAAGAUUUAUAGUGUAUCUCCUGCUCUUGUUGUGCUAAUUCUCGUAUAUUAUUAUCAUAGUAAAUGAGGAAGCGUUGAUAGUGUAUUAGUCGUUCUUGUUAUGGCAUAAAAUAUUUAUUCUCUUGUAUAUUGUAGUUCAAGAAAAUGAGAGAUUGAGUGGUUAAUAAUUGUUCUUGUUAUUGCUAAAUUUGGAUAUUGUUUCAAGAAAUGAGAAGAUUGAUAGUCGUUAUUAGUGUUCUUGUUUUGCUAAAUUUUGUAUAUUGUUUACCCAGAAGAGAGAGCAUGUUGAUAGUGUUAUUAGUGUGCCUUUGCUAUUGUAUAUUGGUAUCAAGAAAUGAGAAGAUUGUUAUAGUGUUAUUAGUGUUUCGUUUUUGCUAAAUUUGUAUGAUUAUUUAUCAAGAAAUGAGAGGUUAUGUAGUUUAUUAGAUGUUCUUGUUUUGCAAAUUUGUAUAUUGUAUCAAGAACAUGAGAAGGAUGGGAUAGUGUUAUUUAAGUGUUCUGAUUAUCAAGAAAACGUUUGACGCUUGACCCUUAGCAAAAUCCUCAAAAUAUGAAAGGCAUUUGGCCAGUCGGAAUCUCAUGGCUUCUAUUCAGUCAAAUAAGGAAUAUGGAAGAUUCAGCACACCUAAGUCUUGUCCAAGUCAUGAACGCACUGUGUCGUGUUGAAGUGAGGAGAUGGCUUCAGAAGCGCCACACACUGCUUCCUAUGAUUCGUACGCACAUCUGUGGACUCUAUUGGUACGUGAGUUAUUUCUUUGCUUCUUUUUUCUAGCAUACUAAUAUGUAUAUGUUUAUCAAGAAUGAGAAGAUGAUCAGUUGUUAUUAGUGUUCUUGUUUGCUAAAUUUUUGUAUAUUAGGUUAUCAAGAAAUGAGAAAGAUGAUAUGUAAAGAUGUUCUUGCUUUGCUAAGUUUUGUAUUUUUAUCAAGAAUGAAGACGAUUGAUAGUUGUGAUUAGUGUUCUUAUUUUGCCUCAACAUUUCGCUCCUCCUUGUUAACAGAAAAGGAUGAUUGAUGAGAUGUUAGAGUGUUCCUUGUUUUGCCUAAAUUUUGUAUAUCGUAUCAAUAAAUGAGGAAGAUUGAUAGUGUUUUAUUAGUGUUCUUGUUUGUGUAAAUUUUGUAUAUUGAUAUCAAAGAAAAUGGAGAAGAUGAUAGUGGUUAUUAGUUUCUUGUUUUGCCCUUAAUUUUGUAUAUUGUUAUCAAGAAAAUGAGAAGAAUUGAUAGUGUUAUUUGUGUUCUUGUUUUGCUAAAUUUUUAGUAUAUUGUUAUCAAAAAAUCAGAAGAUGAUAGUCGUUAUUAUGUUCUUGUUUGCUAAAUUUUGUAUAUUGUUAUCAAAGAAAAUAGAAGGUUGAUAUUAUUAGUUUUCUGUUUUGUUUAAUUUUGUAUAUUGUUUAUCAAGAAAUGAGAAGAUAAGAUUGAUAGUGUUAUUUGUGUUCUUGUUUUGCUAAAUUUUGUAUAUUGUUAUCAAGAAAUGAGAAGAUUAAUGGUGUUAUUAGUGUUCUUGUUUUGCUAAAUUUUAUAUAUUGUUAUCAAGAAAUAGGAAGUUUGAAAGUGUUAAUAGUUUUCUUGUUUUGCUAAAUAUUGUAUAUUGUUAUCAAGAAAUGAGAAGAUUGAUAGUGUUAUUAGUGUUCUUGUUUUGCUAAAUUAUGUAUAUUGUUAUCAAGAAAUGAGAAUAUUGAUAUUGUUAUUAGUGUUCUUGUUUUGAUAUAUUUUGUAUAUUGUUAUAAAGAAAUGAGAAGAUUGAUAGUGUUAUUAGUGUUCUUGUUUUGCUAAAUUUGGUAUAUUGUUAUCAAGAAAUGAGAAGAUUGGUAGUGUUAUUAGUGUUCUUGUUUUGCUAAAUUUUGUUUAUUGUUAUCAAAAAAUGAGAAGAUUGAUAGUGUUAUUAGUGUUCUUGUUUUGCUAAUAUUUGUAUAUUGUUGUCAAGAAAUUAGAAGAUUGAUAGUGUUAUUAGUGUUCUUGUUUUGCUAAAUUUUGUAUAUUGUUAUCAAGAAAUGAGAAGAUUGAUAGUGUUAUUAGUGUUCUUGUUUUUCUAAAUNNNNNNNNNNNNNNNNNNNNNNNNNNNNNNNNNNNNNNNNNNNNNNNNNNNNNNNNNNNNNNNNNNNNNNNNNNNNNNNNNNNNNNNNNNNNNNNNNNNNNNNNNNNNNNNNNNNNNNNNNNNNNNNNNNNNNNNNNNNNNNNNNNNNNNNNNNNNNNNNNNNNNNNNNNNNNNNNNNNNNNNNNNNNNNNNNNNNNNNNNNNNNNNNNNNNNNNNNNNNNNNNNNNNNNNNNNNNNNNNNNNNNNNNNNNNNNNNNNNNNNNNNNNNNNNNNNNNNNNNNNNNNNNNNNNNNNNNNNNNNNNNNNNNNNNNNNNNNNNNNNNNNNNNNNNNNNNNNNNNNNNNNNNNNNNNNNNNNNNNNNNNNNNNNNNNNNNNNNNNNNNNNNNNNNNNNNNNNNNNNNNNNNNNNNNNNNNNNNNNNNNNNNNNNNNNNNNNNNNNNNNNNNNNNNNNNNNNNNNNNNNNNNNNNNNNNNNNNNNNNNNNNNNNNNNNNNNNNNNNNNNNNNNNNNNNNNNNNNNNNNNNNNNNNNNNNNNNNNNNNNNNNNNNNNNNNNNNNNNNNNNNNNNNNNNNNNNNNNNNNNNNNNNNNNNNUGUUCUUGAGAUUUACCUGUAUAUUGUUAAUGAAGAAAUGAAGAAGAUUGAUUUAGUGUUAUUAGUGUCUUGUUUUGCUAAAUUUUGUAUAUUGUUAUCAAGAAUGAGAAGAUUGAUAGUGUUUAUUAGUGGUUCUUGUUUUGCUAAAUUUUGUAUAUUGUUAUCAAGAAAUGAGAAGAUUGAUAGUGUUUAUUAGUGUUCUUGUUUUGCUAAAUUUUGUAAUUUUGUUAUCAAGAAAAUGAGAAAGGUAGAUGUUAUUAAGUGUCUUGUUUUGGCUAAUUUUGUAUAUUGUUAUCUAAGAAAUGAGAAGAUUGAUAGUGUUAUUAGUGUUCUUGUUUUGCUAAAUUUGUAUAUUGUUAUCAAAGAAAUGAGAAAGAUUGAAUAGUGUUAUUAGUGUUCUUGUUUUGGCUAAUUUUGUAUAUUUGUUAUCAAGAAAUAGAAGAUUGAUAGUGUUAUUAGUGUUCUUUUUGCUAAAUUUUGUAUAUUGUUAUCAAGAAAUGAGAAGAUUGAUAGUGUUAUUAGUGUUCUUGUUUGCUAAAUUUUGUAUAUUGUUAUCAAGAAAUGAGAAAGAUUGAUAGUGUUAUUAGUGUUCUUGUUUUGCUAAAUUUUGUAUAUUGUUAUCAAGAAAUGAGAAGAUUGAUAUGUGUUAUUAGUGUUCUUGUUUUGCUAAAUUUUUGUAUAUUGUUAUCAAGAAAUAGAGAAGAUUGAUAGUGUUAUUAGUGUUCUGUUUUGCUAAAUUUUGUAUAUUGUUAUCAAGAAAUGAGAAGAUUGAUAGUGUUAUUAGUGUUCUUGUUUUGCUAAAUUUUGUAUAUUGUUAUCAAGAAAUUGAGAAAGAUUGAUAGUGUUAUUAGUGUUCUUGUUUUGCUAAUUUUUUGUAUAAAUUGUUAUCAGAGAAAUGAGAAGAUUGAAGUGUUACUAUAGUGUUCUUGUUAUCAAAACAUUAACAGCUGACAAUCCCUUUACCAAAUCUCCCAAAUGAAAGGCAUUGCGCAUGGGAAUUCUCCAUAGCUCUGUUAGUGCAGAAUAUGGGAUAAUGUGGUAUAGAUACACAAACUAGGACGGAUGUAGCCAUGACGCACUGUAUCGUUCGGGAAUUUAUGAUGGCUCUCAAAGGCCACACCGCCGCUGGCUUCCUAUAUCCCGUACGCACAUCUUAGGACGCGGGUAUUACGUGAUUUAUUUUUUUGCUCUUUAACCACUUACCUGUAUACUUGUUAUGAGAAAUGAAAGGAUUUAUAGUGUUAUUAGUGGUUCUGUAAAUUGCGCUAAAUUUGUAAUAAUGUCUAAAGAAAAUGAGAAGAAUCUGAUAGUUUAUUAGUGUUCUUGUUUGCUAAAUUUGGUAUAUGUGUCAGAAAUAAGGAAGAUUGAUAUGUUGUAGUGUUCUGUUUUGCUAAAUUGUAUAGUUAUCACAGAAAUGAGAAAGAUUGAUACUUAUUAUUUCUUUUUUGCCAAAUUGUAUAUUAUAAAAUGAGAAAUGAUGGUAUAUUAUUGUGUUGUUGUUUUGCUAAAUUUUGUACUAUCUAGUUAUCAUGAAAUUAGAGAUUAUAUAGGUCGUUGGAAUUGUAAUUUCUGUCUAUGUUAAUCUUUUGCUAAAUUGUAUAUUGUUAUCAAGAAAUGAAAAUGAUUUUAUUUUUUGUGUUCUAAUUUGGUUAUGGCUGAAAUAAGUGAUAUUAUUGUGUUGUCAAAAAUGAUAUCUGACAAUAAAUGAUAGAUUAAAUGUCUGUGUUUUGCUAAAUUUGUAUACAUGUUAUCCUAAAAAUGAGAACAUGGAUAAGUGUUACAUAGUGUUCUUACGUUUGUUGGAAAUUUGUAUAUUGUUAUCAGAAUGGAAGAAUUGAAUAGUGUUAUUAGUGUUCUUGUUUUGCCUAAUUUUUGUAUAUUUUACAAGAAAUGAGAAAUGAUAGUGUAUUAGUGUUCUUGUGGUUUGCUAAUUUGUCAUAAUGUUAAUCCAGAAAGAGAAAUCUGAUCAUGUAUAUAGUUCUUGUUUGGCUACAAAUUUGUUAUUAUUAUCAAGAAAAGAAUAGUUAUAGUUUCUUUGUUUUGCUAAAUUUGUAAUAUUUUGUCAAGAAAAUAAAAUUGAUAGUUAUUAGUGCUUGUUGCAAACUUUAUAAUUGUUAUCAAGAAUGCAAAAGAUCGGAUAGCUGUUAUAGUUUCUUGUGUUUGCUAAUAUUUGUAUAUUCUUUACAGGAAAUAGAAGAUAGAUAUGGUUAUAGUUCUUGUUUGCUAAAUUGUGCUAUAUGAUUAUCAAGAAAUGAAAAAAACUUGGAUAGUGUUAUAUAUGUUUCUGUUUUUGCUAAAUUUAAGUUAUUGUUACCAAGAAGAGAAGAUUUGAUAGUGUUAUUAGUCGUUCUGUUUUGCUAUUUGUAUGAUGGUUUGCAAGAAAUAGCAAGAUUGGAUAGUGUUAUAGUGUCUUCGUUUGCUAAAUUAGUCAUAUUGUUCAAAGAAAUGAGAAAUUGAAGUAUGUCGGUUCAAAUGUAUUUAUAAGAGAUGUUGUACCUGCUUUUGCUAAAUUGUUGUAUAAUUGUAUCAAUGAAAAAAGAUGAAAUGUUGAUUAGUGUCUCUUGUUUUGCUAAAUAUUGUAUAUUGUUAUCAAGAAAGAAGAGAUUGAUAUGUUGUUAGGUUCUUAGUUUUGCUAAUUUUGUUAUCAUGUUUAUAAAGAAAUGAGAAGAUUGAUAGUUUAUUAAGUGUUCUUGUUCGUAAAUUUGUAAUUUAUUUCAAGAAAUGAGAAAGUGAUAGUGUUAUUAGUGUUCUGUUUGCCUAAAUUUUGUAUAUUGUUAUCAAGUAAAAAUGAGAAGAUUGAUAUUAAUUAGUUUAUUGUUUGCUAAAUUUGUAUAUUGUUAUCAAGAAAUCAGAAGAUGAUUAGUGUUAUUAGUGAUCUUUGUUUCCCUAAAUUUUGUAAUAUCUUAUCAAGAAAUGAGAAAUGAAUGUUUAUAGUGUCUUGUUUGCUAAAUUUUAUAUAUUUUAUCAAGAAAUAGAAGAUGAAGUGUUAAUUAGUGUUCUUGUUUUGCUAAAUUUUGAUUAUAUUUGUCAAGAAAUGAGAAGAUUGAUAAAUGUUAUUAGUGUUCUUGUUUGCUAAAAUUUUGUAUAUUGUUAUCAAGAAAUGAGAAGAUGAUAGUGUAUAUAGUGUUUCUUUUGUUUUGCUAAAUUUUGUAUAUGUAUACAAAAAUUAGAAGAUCGAUAGUGUUAUUAGUGUUCCUUGUUUUGCUAAAUUUUGUAUAUUGUUAUCUCAAAGAAAUGAGAAGAUUGAUAGUGUUAUUAGUGUUCUUGUUUUGCUAAAUUUUGUAUAUUGUUAUCAAGAAAUGAAGAAGAUUGAUAGUGUUAUUAGUGUUCUUGUUUUGCUAAAUUUUGUAUAUUGUUAUCAAGAAAUGAGAAGAUUGAUAUGUUAUUAGUGUUUGUUUUUGCUAAAUUUGUAUAUUGUUAUCAAGAAAUAGAAGAUUGAUAGUGUUAUUAGUGUUCUUGUUUGCUAAAUUUUGUAUAUUGUUAUCAAGAAAUGAAGAGAUUGAUAGUGUUAUUAGUGUUCUUGUUUUGCUAAAAUUUUGUAUAUUGUUAUCAAGAAAUGAGAAGAUUGAUAGUGUUAUUAGUGUUCUUGUUUUGCUAAUUUUGUAUAUUGUUAUCAAAGAAAUGAGAAGAUUGAUAUGUUUUAGUGUCUUCGUUUUGCUAAAUUUUUGUAUAUUGUAUCAAAGAAAUGAGAAGAUUGAUAGUGUUAUUAGUGUUCUUGUUUGCUAAAUUUUGUAUAUUGUUAUCAAGAAAUGAGAAGAUGAUAGUGUUAUUAGUGUUUCUUGUUUUGCUAAAUUUUUGUAUAUUUUUAUCAAGAAAUGAGAGAUUGAUAGUGUUAUUAGUGUUUGUUUUGCUAAUUUGUAUAUUGUUAUCAGAAAUGAGAAGAUUGAUAGUGUUAUUUAGUGUUCUUGUUUUCCUAAAUUUUGUAUAUUUUAUCAAGAAAUGAGAAGAUUGAUAGUGUUAUUAGUGUUCUUGUUUGCUAAAUUUUAUAUUGUUAUCAAGAAAUGAGAAGAUUGAUAGUGUUAUUAGUGUUCUUGUUUUGCUAAAUUUUGUAUAUUGUUUUCAAGAAAUGAGAAGAUUGAUAGUGUUAUUAGUGUUCUUGUUUUGCUAAAUUUUGUAUUAUUGUUAUCAAGAAAAUGAGAGAUGAUAUGUAUUAGUGUUCUUGUUUUGCUAAAUUUGUAUAUUGUUAUCAAAGAAAUGAGAAGAUUGGAUAGUGUUAUUAGUGUUCUUGUUUUGCUAAAUUUUGUAUAUUGUUUCAAGAAAUGAGAAGAUUGAUAGUGUUAUUAGUGUUCUUGUUUUGCUAAAUUUUGUAUAUUGUUAUCAAAGAAAUGAGAAGAUUGAUAGUGUUAUAGUGUUCUUGUUUUGCUAAAUUUUGUAUAUUGUUAUCAAGAAAUGAGAAGAUUGAUAGUGUUAUUAGUGCUUGUUUUGCCUAAAUUUUGUAUAUUGUUAUCAAGAAAUGAGAAGAUUGAUAGUGUUAUUAGUGUUCUUGUUUUGCUAAAUUUUGUAUAUUGUUAUCAGAAAUGAGAAGAUUUGAUAGUGUUAUUAGUGUUCUUGUUUUGCUAAAUUUUAUAUUGUUAUCAAGAAAUGAGAAGAUUGAUAGUGUUAUUAGUGUUCUUGUUUUGCUAAAUUUGUAUAUUGUUAUCAAGAAAUGAGAAGAUUGAUAGUGUUAUUAGUGUUCUUGUUUUGCUAAAUUUUGUAUAUUGUUAUCAAGAAUGAGAAGAUUGAUAGUGUUAUUAGUGUUCUGUUUUGCUAAAUUUUGUAUAUUGUUAUCAAAGAAAUGAGAAGAUUGAUAGUGUUAUUAGUGUUCUUGUUUUGCUAAAAUUUAGUAUAUUGUGUAUCAAUAAGAAUGAGAAGAUUGAUAGUGUUAUGAUGUUCUUGUUUGCUAAAUUUUGUAUAUUGUUAUAGAAAUGAGAAGAUUGAUAGUGUAUUAGUGUUCUUGUUUUGCUAAAUUUUGUAUAUUGUUAUCAAGAAAUGAGAAGGUUGAUAGUGUUAUUAGUGUUCUUGUUUUUGCUAAUUUUGUAUAUUGUUAAUGCAAGAAAUGAGAAGAUUGAUAGUGUUAUUAGUGUUCUUUUGUCUUGAAUAUUUUUAUUUGUUACAAGAAAUUGAGAGAUUGAUAGUGUUUAUUUUGUGUUUCUUGUAUCAAGAAACGUUGGACGCUGACCCUUUAGCAAAUCUCUCAAAAAUGAAAGCUUUGCUAAUUUUGUAUAUUGUUAUCAAGAAAUGAGAAGAUUGAUAGUGUUUUUAGUGUUCUUGUUUUGCUAAAUUUUGUAUAUUGUUAUCAAGAAAUAAGGAGAUUGAUAAUGUUGUUAGUGUUCUUAUUUUGCUAAAUUUUGUAUAUUGUUAUCAAGAAAUGAGAAGAUUGAUAGUGUUAUUAGUGUUCUUGUGUUGCUAAAUUUGUAUAUUGUUAUCAAGAAAUGAGAAGAUUGAUAGUGUUAUUAGUGUUGUUGUUUUGCUAAAUUUUGUAUAUUGUUAUCUAGAAAAUAGAAGAUUGAUAGUGUUAUUACUGUUCUUGUUUUGCUAAUUUUGUAUAUUGUUAUCAAGAAAUGAGAAGAUUGAUAGUGUUAUUAGUGUUCUUGUUUCGCUAAAUUUUGUAUAUUGUUGACCAGAAAUGAGAAGAUUGAUAGUGUUAUUAGUGUUCUUGUUUUGCUAAAUUUUGUAUAUUGUUAUCAAAAAAUGAGAAGAUUGAUAGUGUUACUAGUGUGCUUGUUUUGCUAAAUUUUGUAUAUUGUUAUCAAGAAAUGAGAAGAUUGAUAGUGUUAUUAGUGUUCUUGUUUUACUAAAUUUUGUAUAUUGUUAUCAAGAAAUGAGAAGAUUGAUAGUGUUAUUUAUCACGAAUAUGAGACGGAUUGAUAGUGUUAUUAGUGUUCUUGUUUUGCUAAUUUUGUAUAUUGUUAUAAGAAAUGAGAAGAUUGAUAGUGUAUUAUGUGUUCUUGUUUGGCUAAUUUGUAUAUUGUUAUCAAGAAAUGAAGCGAUUGUAGUGUUAUUAGUGUUCUUGUUUUGCUAAUUUUGUAUAUUUUCAAGAAAUGAGAGAUAUGAUUGAUAUUUUAGGUUAGUGUUUGCUAAGAUUGGUCUAGAGUAUAAUGGAAUUGAUAUUAGUUCUGUUCUUGUUUGCUAAAUUUGUAUAUUGUUAUCAAGAAAUGAGAGAUUGAUAGUGUUAUUAGUGUUCUUGUUUUGCUAAAUUUUGUAUAUUGUUAUCAAGAAAUGAGAAGAUUGAUAGUGUUAUUAGUGUUUGUGUUUGCUAAAUUUUGUAUAUUGUUAUCAAAAAUGAGAAGAUUGAUAGUGUUCUUGUUUUGCUAAAUUUUGUAUAUGUUAUCAAGAAAUGAGAAGAUUGAAGUGUUAUUAGUGUUCUUGUUUUGCUAAAUUUUGUAUAUUGUUAUCAAGAAAUGAGAAGAUUGAUAGUGUUAUUAGUGUUGUUUUUGCUAAAUUUUGUAUAUUGUUAUAAGAAAUGAGAAGAUUGAUAGUUGUUAUAGUGUUCUUGUUUGCUAAAUUUUGUAUUAGUUAUCAAGAAAUGAGAAGAUUGAUAGUGUAUUAGUGUCUUGUUUUGCUAAAUUUGUAUAUUGUUAACAAAUGAGAAGAUGAUAGUGUUAUUAGUGUUCUUGUUUUUUUUUAAAUUUUGUAUAUUGUUAUCAAGAAAUGAGAAGAUUGAUAGUGUUAUUAGUGUUCUUUUUUGCUAAAUUUUGUAUAUUGUUAUAAGAAAUGAGAAGAUUGAUAGUGUAUAGUGUUCUUGUUUGCUAAAUUUGUAUAUUGUUAUCAAGAAAUGAGAAGAUUGAUAGUGUUAUUUAGUGUUCUUGUUUUCUAAAUUUUGUAUAUUGUUAUCAAGAAAUGAGAGAUUGAUAGUGUUAUUAGUGUUUUUGUUUUGCUAAUUUUGUAUAUUGUUAUCAAGAAAUGAGAAGAUGAUAGUGUUAUAGUGUUCUUGUUUUUGCUAAAUUUUGUAUAUUGUUAUCAAAGAAUGAGAGAUUGAUAGUGUUUUUUCGUCUUAUUGUUCAUUUAUAGAGAUGUUAUGAUCGUAGUUAUUUAAUUGGUUCUCUUGUUUUGAAAUUUGUAUAUUGUUAUCAAGAAAUGAGAGAUUUGAUAGUGUUAUUAGUGUUCUUGUUUUGAAAUUUUCUAUAUUGUUAUAAAAAUAAGGAUGAUUUAGUAUAUUCGUGUAUAUGUUUGCUAUUAUAUUGUAUAUUGUUAUCAAGAAAUGGAAGAUUGAUAGUGUUAUUAGUGUUCUUGUUUUUCUAAUUUUUAUAUUGUUAUCAAGAUAAAUAGUAGAUUGAUAGUGUUAUAUAGUGUUCUUGUUUUGCUAAAUUUUUAUAUUGUUAUUAAGAAAUGAGAAAGAUCUGAGUUAUAGUUUCUUGUUCUUUGCUAAAUUUGUAUAUUGUUAUCAAGAAUGAGAGAUUGAUAGUGUAUUAGUGUUCUUGUUUUGCUAAAUUUGUAUAUUGUUAUAAAAUGAGAAGAUUGAUAGUUUUUGUUUGCAAUUGAUGGAUAGUGAAUAUAUUUUUAGUGUCUUAUAUAUUUGUUUUGUAAUUGUUAUCAAGAAAUGAGAAGAUUGAGUGUUAUUAGUGUUCUUGUUUUGCUAAAUUUUGUAUAUUGUUAUUCAAAAAUGAGAAGAUUGAUGUUAUGUUCUUUGUUUUGCUAAAUUUGUAUAUUGUUAUCAAGAAAUGAGAAGAUUGAAGUGUUAUUAGUGUUCUUGUUUUGCUAAAAUUUUGUAUAUUGUUAUCAAGAAAUGAGAAGAUUGAUAGUGUUAUUAGUGUUCUUGUUUGCCCAAAUUUGUGUAUAUUGUUAUUCAAGUAAAAGAGAGAUUGAUAGUUUUAUUAGUGUUCUUGUUUUGCUAAAUUUUGUAUAUUUUAUCAAGAAAUGAGAAGAUGAUAGUGUUAUUAGUGUUCUUGUUUUGCUAAAUUUUGUAUAUUGUUAUCAAGAAAUGAGAGAUGAUUAGUGUUAUUAGUGUUCUUGUUUUGUUUUUAAUUUUGUAUAUUGUUAUCAAGAAAUGAGAAGAUUGAUAGUGUUAUUAGUGUUCUUUUUUGCUAAAUUUGUAUAUUGUUAUUAAGAAAUGAGAAGAUUGAUAGUGUUAUUAGUGUUCUUGUUUUGCAAAUUUUGUAUAUUGUUAUCAAGAAAAUGAGAAGAUUGAUAGUGUUAUUGUUCUUGUUUUUGCUAAAUUUUGUAUAUUGUUACAAGAAAUGAGAAGAUUGAUAGUGUUAUUGUGUUUUGUUUUGCCUAAAUUUGUAUAUUGUUAUCAAGAAUGAGAAGAUUGAUAGUGUUAUUAGUGUUCUUGUUUUGCUAAAUUUUGUAUAUUGUUAUCAAGAAAUGAGAAGAUUGAUAGUGUUAUUAUGUGCGGUUUUCCUAAUUUUUUAUAUUUGUUAUCAAGAAAUGGAGUUGAUAGUGUUAUUAGUGUUCUUUUUUGAAAUUUUGUAUUUGUUAUCAAGAAAUGAGAAGAUUGAUAGUGUUAUUUUUCUGUUGUGUUUGCUAAAUUUUCGUAUUUGUUUAUAAGAAAUGAGAAAGAUUAUAGUGUUAUUAGUGUUCUUGUUUUGCUAAAUUUUAGUAAUUGUUAUUCAGAAAAUGAGAAGAUGAUAGUGUUAUUAGUGUUCUUGUUUUUCUAAAUUUUGUUAUAUGUUAUCAAGAAAUGAGAAGAUUGAUAGUGUUAUUAGUGUUCUUGUUUUGCUAUAUUUUGUAUAUUGUUAUCAAGAAUGAGAGUUAGUAGUGUAUUAGUUUUUCUUGUUGAUUUGUAUUAUUUUAUCAAGAAAAUGAGAAGAUUGAUAGUGUUUUAGUGUUCCUUGUUUUGCUAAAUUUGUAUAUUGUUAUCAAGAAAUGAGAAGAUGAUAGUGUUAUUAGUGUUCUUGUUUUUUUAAAUUUUGUAUAUUGUUAUAAGAAAUGAGAAGAUUGAAGUGUUAUUAGUGUUUCUUUUUUGCUAAAUUUUUAUUUUGUUAUUAAGAAAUGAGAAGAUUGAUAGUGUUAUUAGUGUUCUUGUUUUGCUAAAUUUUGUAUAUUGUUAUCAAGAAAUGAGAAGAU